GAAAUGCGAUAAGUAAUGUGAAUUGCAGAAUUCAGUGAGUCAUCGAAUCUUUGAACGCACAUUGCGCCCCCUGGUAUUCCGGGGGGCAUGCCUGUUCGAGCGUCAUUUCACCACUCAAGCCUCGCUUGGUAUUGGGCAACGCGGUCCGCCGCGUGCCUCAAAUCGACCGGCUGGGUCUUCUGUCCCCUAAGCGUUGUGGAAACUAUUCGCUAAAGGGUGUUCGGGAGGCUACGCCGUAAAACAACCCCAUUUCUAAGGUUGACCUCGGAUCAGGUAGGGAUACCCGCUGAACUUAAGC
rnacentral:misc_RNA from 1 species